rnacentral:misc_RNA from 1 species
GCGGAAGAAACUUGAAAACGAGAAGGGAAUUCUUUGCAGCCGGAUCAUCAGUCUGAGGUGGCUUCAUAAUCUCCAUUGAAAUGAACUGAGAAAUAACAAGAAGCACAGGCAAAACAAGGUAUGCUGCUGUGUCUGACCAGCCCAAUGGUGGAUGUCCAUCCACAAAAGGAAAAAGCCAGGAAAUGCCAGAUCCACUUUGUCUAGCAGCAAUACUUGUUGGACCCCCCAAAGAU